rnacentral:lncRNA from 1 species
AGACCAUUUACUUAAGCCUCCAGGCCCUGAGACUAUCGUGGAAAAAAUUACAAUAAAUCAUGCCAUUCACACAAGUUCUUACACGGAUUUAAUUGCAUCUUUGAAAGGUUUGGCAGAUACAUCAAGCCAGUUCAUUAAUGCACAGAUGAUUUCUUCACAUUAAGAAAGACACGUUGGAGCACCAUAAAUGUCAAGGCAGUUAUUACGCACAAAAAGCAUAAAAUGGCAACCAUCAAAAGGUGAGCCCUUAUUCAGUUGAGAUCAAAAAUAAAACUGCAGUAAUUCCUUUGUGUAAUAAUGGAGAAAUAUUAGAUUAUUUUAAGG